AACCGCUGAAAGCAUAUAAGCGGGAAGCCUCUCCUGAGAUUAGAUCUCCCUGGACUUCGGUCCCUAAAGGCUCCUCCAAGACUAGGAGGUUGAUAGGCCGGAAGUGUAAGCGUAGCAAUACGUUCAGCUGACCGGUACUAAUUGGCCGUGAGGCUUGACCGU
rnacentral:rRNA from 1 species